GAUGAAGAACGUAGUGAAAUGCGAUACGUAAUGUGCAUUGCAGAAUUCAGUGAAUCAUCGAAUCUUUGAACGCAUAUUGCGCUCUCUGGUAUUCCGGAGAGCAUGCUUGUUUGCGUAUCAGUAAACACCUCAACUUCCAUAUCUUUUUUUGAAAUGGGAGUUGGACUUGAGUGAUCCCAACGCUUUUCCUCACCGAAAAGUGGCGGGUUACUUGAAAUGCAGGUGCAGCUGGACUUUUCUCUGAGCUAUAAGCAUAUCUAUUUAGUCUGCCUAAAAAACAGAUUAUUACCUUUGCUGCAGCUAACAUAAAGGAGAUUAGUUCUUGUGCUGACUGAUGCAGGAUUCACAAAGACAGCUUCGGCCGACUUUGUAAACUCGAUCUCAAAUCAAGUAAGACUACCCGCUGAACUUAAGCAUAUCAAUAAGCGGAGGA
rnacentral:misc_RNA from 1 species